UACCAAGAUAUGAAAGUUCAAUUCACAAAGAAGUGCAUCCCAUUGAGAAAAAGAGGGCAAAAAGAUUAGUAUUAGAUGUAACCUUCAACUAAACUCAAACUUCUAUCGAGAAGUGUUUUGGCCAAAUUUGUGGAGCAAUUUAGUUCCAGAUGAAGUAAUCACUUAAUAUCAGCCUAAUAUUAUCUAUUUGCAACUAACCAUCUCAUAAUCAACUUAUGUCCAAAUGUUUUUCGAAAUUCCCAAAAUCACCAAGAACCCUAGAUUUUAAAAUCUCAAUUAAAGAUAAUCUAGCAAGUUUUUUUUAUCAACCCAACUCGUUAACAAGCCUAUAUAUGAUUAAGAUACAAGUUUCCAUCCAGAAAUCGAUAAUGCAUCAUCGUUUAAAAACUUGAAAUUUUUUUACCCAAGAUGAUUCAAGGCGAAAUUUUCAUACCUUAGCUUGUUUGUAUGCAAAUUGAAUAGAGAAAUCGAAACUAUGGAUGAUUUUGUGGAGAUAGGGAGUUGAACCACAAAAUUUGGUUGAGAAUUGAGGAUUUGGUGGGAUUGUGGGAUGAUGAGAGGGGUUUGAGAGAGAGAGAUGAUGUUUGUGAGAGGGAUGAAGUCGCGAGAGAGAGAGAUGAGGUUGUCUCAGGUUUUGUGUGGAUUGGUUCGAGAUAAAUUGGGUUGGUUUACUCAAAUCGAACCGAGAUUUCUAGUUAGAAAAACGUACCUGGGCUCUGUAGCGGUCUUGAAAAGUCGCUAGGAUAAACCACUACUAACGUAGCGACCCCGUGUGACCGCUA
rnacentral:lncRNA from 1 species